rnacentral:lncRNA from 1 species
CAAAGUUUCAGUCAAAGAUUGUUCAUAACUAGGGACCGCAUCCAAAGUCUCCCAAAAAAAAAACUAUAACCGUAUCAUUAUUAAGUAACUAUAGUAAUGAUUCUUAUGUAACCUUAGGUUGUAAACUUUAACAACAUUUUUUAAACUUCGUUAAAUAUGAAUGUUAACAUCAAUAGAUCAAUAGUCUUAAUUAUUAUUUUUUUUUGAGGGGGACAACUGGUGGUAAGCCACAAUUAUCUACCCCUUCUAGGCAUGAAGAGGCUUUAGGGAAUUUCACUCUGCCCGUGGCCAUAGUCAAGCAGACUUACCAGCUCAGAACAUUAAACUUGGGUGUCCGUAGAAUUUAUGACAAUAUUUCUUCUAUAUAUAUUCUACAUGUGUUAGAAAACUAAUUAGCAACAUGGGGUGCCCAACUUCAUAUAAGCACAUAAUGUUCCAUAAUUUUCACAUGUAGGAUUUACACUCUCAAUAUAUUUGUGUGUGUGUGUGUAAAUUUUUUUUUAAGGUAACUAAUUAAAUUAAUUAAGUAGCCAAGCUUCUUAUAGGGUUGUAUGUGUUGGAAAUAUGUCAUAAAAGUCAAUCAUGAGAUGAUACUUUACGGAUAUUUCACAUAUUAAACUUAUUUAGUUUAAGGGAAAGUGUUAUUGUUUAAAGCCAUCUCGUUAAAUGUUCAAUGCUUAAACAAUAAGUCCAAGGAAUAUGCAAUAGAUAAUGUAAUCUAAGGAAGUUAGAUUCAUGAGACCUUUUUUUCUCAUGCACAUAUCCUAAACGUUCAUGAUCAUAGAAUUGUAAAUUGGGCAUUGGCACUUCGAUAAGAUCAGUACAUAUUAUGUCUUCUUUCUUUAGAGAGUGAUUAGUCUCGAGUUAAUGGUGUGAAAGACAUCAAGAUAAGUAUGUAGCUACUCAACAGAGAGUGAGUUCAUUGAACGCGAUCAACCAGGAGUUCUUGUACUCAUGUCAUAUGAGUUCUCACUAGUUGGAAUACUUCAAAGUAGUCCUAUGGCCUAAGACACCACAAUUGUAUUGUGGAUACGUCUUUGAUUAUUUGAUGAUGUGUCAAUAACCUUAUGGUUUGUUCCAUGCAUUGUUGAGAUCAGUGAUUCUGUGAGUAUACAACAAGUGAUAUCUAACUUUCAAUCGUUGAAGUACAAUACUCUAUGAUAUGAUUUAAGAGUUUCUAGUCAGAACACAUGAAUAUGAUUUAGGAAUCAUGUUCCAAAUCACAUAUAAGUGUACAUGUCAGUGUACAACAAUGGAUCUUUAACCUUCAAAAAUUGAAGAAGAAUACUCUAUAUGUUAUGAUGACGAAUUGGCCAUAGUACAUGAAUAAGAUUUUGGAAGUAUGUUUCAAAUCACAUUCAAAGUAAUCAUAUAACAAGAGAAUCACAUUGGAUAGUAGACAUGAAUAAACUAUCAACCAAACAAUGUGAUAAAAAAUAUUGAUAUAAAGAAACAUUGUAUUGCAUUGUAAUCUCAAAUUGAAUAGGUUAUCCACGUCUUCUACUGAGUUUGGGUAGCCAUGACAUAUUGCUAGGUAUCAUUCAUGGUUUGUGGAAACCCUGAAGAUUAGCAAUCACUAAUCUUCACUACAGGGAGAAUUGGAACAAUCUUUCAAUUCACAAUUGAUUAGCAAAAGUUCUAAUCGCCAAUUGCCUUACUGACCAGAACCUAAUGGAUUGCACAUCGUGUAAGCUAAUGAUUGAAGAAUACAACAGAAUUGAGUAAGAACAAUUAAAUGGUUUAUUUUAUUAUGGCUAGGAUUAAUUAAUAUGUUAAUUAAACAAACGAAUAAAUUCAUUUUAAACCUUGAGUUAGUAUUGGGCCUCUAAGUCUCAUGCACUUCGAACCAUCAAGCUCAUUAACUUAAAUUGUAUGACAACUUGAAACACAAGGGACCCAAAAGCUCAAUGACUUGACAUGGCCGGCCAUUAGAGAAUGGAGAGGGAUUUCACUUAAGUGGAAAACACUAUAUAUAAAUGGAAAUAUCAACUCAUCCCUCAUUUGGGUUUUCAAGAGGCCAAAGGGAGGAAAAAUCUCUCUUUUCUCUCUUGGAGGUUGGCCCCUAGGAGAAUAAUCUCUAGCUAUUUUCUUCUCCUAGGUCGCUCAUCUUCUUCCUAAAUCAAACUUGGUGUCGAAACGUAAACGUCUCUUACUUUGGUGGGUUGGGGAAUCCAUUCAAGCAUCUAAAUUUAAGAAUCCAAGGAGACAAAAUAAUGAAGAUGAAGGUUGUGGAGUUCAAAUCAAAGAGAGGAAUGAAGGCCCUCACUUUGGGUGAUUAUCCUUUGCCUAUGCAAAGUGGAUCUACAAAGGUAUAACAAAUCUCAACUGAAAUUGGUACGAGGCGGAAUAUCCUGCAAAUAAAAAUUAAGUUUGCAUAGUAGAAUUGUCAGAUGAGCUAGUCAACUAGUUACAAGUUUGUCAGUGACCUAAAGUAUAAUUGCAAAAACAAAACUUAAUUAACUAGUACGUCUAACUAGUCAGAGUCUACCCAAAUUUGUCUCACAACAACAAUUCCCAAACUUGAACACAUUCACAUAUCAUUUCAUUAUGCCAAUGACAAUUACAAAGAAAUUAUGAAUUCAAGUAUGCUGGAUUGACUAGUCAAACUCGCCAGUCAACUAAGUACAGGUUCGUUAGUUAACCAAACACAAAUCGAUCAAUCAAACUUAGUUUACUAUAAGUUAUCCUAGUCAGCAACAAUUCAGUUCAUUACUCAUAAUAUGCAUUAUAAACUUAGUCGCAAACACAUAUCAAAUAACAACCCAUAGGAUGCAUGAAACAUAUGCUAAUAAAUAAGAUAUGUGGACAAGUUUAAGAAACAAAGAACACAAUAAGUUUUUGGUUGGAAAAACCCACCUUUGGGUUAAAAAAACCGGGAACUCCACAGAGUCCAAUCCACUAGUGCAAAUAAGGUUCUUACAAAUUAUCACAACAAGCUUAAUUCCUAGAUCUAAUCUACAUAGUAGUUUUACCUUUGUGACACCGAGACUAACACAAACAAAAGAAAACAAUAUGAUGAUGAAAAUUAUAUGAAAUUUGGAUUCAAUGACCAGUCAAUUUCUCUAGUCAAACAGUUGAAGGAAGAAACCAAAUUGAAUCCAACCUAGGUUUGUUUAAAGAUUUGAAACUUAUGAAAAACUAGACCAUUGAAAAAUGCAGCCCUUAACUCAUAAAUAUGUGUAGUGUUUUGUUGCGAAAAUUAUAUUAAUCGAAAUUAACCCAAUUAAGUUUUAAAUUUUAAUGCUCGCAAGUGUACAAAUCGUAGUAUAAUUAUAGUAGGCAAGCACAAGAUUGUUCCAACUAAAAUUGAUAUAUUUCUAAUUAUCUAACUUAAUUUAUACUUCACUUGAAUUGGAAGUCUACGAUUAAUGAUUUGAGAAAAAUUUAGGACUUGAGAUUCUACACGGAUAAAAUGUAAAAUGAAAUUAACAAGUGAUUGAGAAUGAUGAACAACUUGCAAAGAAAAUUAUAAAUCAGUUGUGAAAGACACUAGAGCAUUGGAUUCAGCAUAACCAAUCCUACUUUAUUCCAACAAUUAAUCAUUAACAAAUAAACAUCCAUCUAGACAGUCUAGUUCCUUUAAUUCAUAUACUAUGUAUACCCCUAUGUGCUAACAAUCUAUGGCAUCUAGAUAACUAAACACAUACGAAUUUAUUAUGAUUUGGGAACUAACUAAAGGGCCGCAUGAAACCUGGUGUAUGGCAUCUACAUCUAGGAAUUCAUGGUACCAUUUGCAGGACAGUCAAAUCGAAUAAAUAACAUGACAUAUGCGUUAAUUUGCAUCUCAUACACUCAAUUCAAACCAAAGUGGUGGCCACUCACCAAGAUUAAAAUCAAGCUAAUAAGCACAACAAAAUGAUACUCGAAGUGAAUGCAAAUUCAUUAAUAAUUAAACUGAAGUUUCAAGAAUUCAUAGGGAAAAGAAAUUAGUUCAACAUAAUCGGAAAUAUUAUUGAAUCCAUAAAAUUAAGAAGAAAACUAAGUUUAGAAAAACCCUAAAAACUCCUUGCUUUGUCGCAGCCUUCUUACCGUGCCUUUUCUUUCCUUCCUUGUGGAAUGAUGAUCAAUUUGCCCCCUUUGAAUUCCUCUUAUUUUCUCUAUUUCUUUCAUUCCUCUUAAUUGUUGAUAAAUUAAGCAAGUAGACUAGCCCUUGCAAGACGGUGUGAGUUCAACCUCGUCGGCGACUAAUCUAACACCUAAUCUAACAAAAUCUAUCGUUUGACAAAAAAAAAAAAAUCAUCUAUAAAUUAAUUCCAAUCAAACUCCAGCAGUUCCUUUUUGUUUCUUUUGUCUUUUCCCUUCAACUUCAUUCUUUCAUUUUCCGUAACCGACCAAAGUUUAAAACCAAUCUAUUGUGUAACAUCCCACAUUACCCAAGGGUGAGGAUCUUGUAAGCCUUAUAUGUUUAUUCCCAUCUUUACAUAGAGUAAGCCUUAUAUGUUUAUUCCCAUCUUUACAUAGCACGAGGCCUUUUGGGAGCUCACUGGCUUCGUGUUCCAUCGAAAAUCCGAAGUUAAGCGAGUUUGCUGAUGCGAAAUAUAUAAGCACACAAAUUAAACCCUCUUUUUAUCAAUUGUAGUAAAGUAUGUAAGUAGGGAUCGUUCUAGGCCGGGGAUUAGGAGGGAUUGCUAAAUCACUUGGAAACUGACUUGAAAACGUAAAAACAAAGUUUAAAACACUAACUAGACUCAAAGAAUGCAAAACUAUACUUUAAAACACUAAAACAAACCAAAAGACUCAAAACAGCCCCUAAACACUCAAAACUACCUUAAACACACAAUUUGGGCAGUUUUGGGACUCUAACACAAACUUGGACGAAUUUUGGUUUUCUAAUGAACUAAAACACUUAAAAACAUAAUCUAAGACAAGUUCUAAUUAAUAUGACUCAAAGAAAUAAGAUGGGGUUGAUUUUGGAUGAAAAUAAUUAAAUUAAGACAAGAACAAAGUAAACAAAUUCUUAGACAAAUUUAAGUGAAUCAAAACA